CCAAUACUCCCUCCGUCCGAAAAUACUUGUCAUCAAAAUGAACAAAAGGGGAUGUAUGUAGAUGUAUUUUAGUUCUAGAUACAUUCCUUUUUGUCCAUUUUGAUGACAAGUAUUUCCGGACGGAGGGAGUACUUUGUAACAGUUUGCAACCUGUGAUAUAGCUUAUGUCAUGGAAUAGAUGUGUCCUAGCUUUAUGACCGUUCAAACUCGUUCGUAAGCGUCAUCAUGCUUUUCUGUGUACAUUUGAUGGGAGCAUACUAUAUAUAUGUUCUGUUUGUGGCAUAUUGAAAAUGCUCAGGCAAAACAGAUCCAACUUGUCCAUACUUCCGUGGAAGGUCAUCUCUCUUAUCGCAUACAGCUGAAGAAGUUCAGCCUUUUUGCUGUCGGAGGUGCGUGAUAGUGAUCUGGUGAAGGAUGCGGAGGCUAUAGCUAACGGCCUGGCUGGUGCAUCCGGUGAUUUUCUGUUGAAGAGCAUUACUUGUAAUAAAUAUCCUCAUAAAUUUGAAAUUAAGUAAUCCUGGCUAAACUUUCCUCAGAUUCUGAAGAGCUAAAACUUUGUGGGAAGAAGUUUUUGAAAAUCCUAGCACCUGCUGUUUCUGCUUUUCUCUGCACCUUGGAGUGUGUGCAUGAAUUGCAAAUGUUAUGGUAGAAGCUUCACUCUUUGUUUUGCUUACACAUACGCUGCCCUGCAGAUGGUUGAAGUCUUCAAUGCUUACCCCUGAGAUUAGUCAUCUUGUCAAGCAGUCCAUUCUCACCCUUACAUUUACUCAGAAGAACAUUGAGUUUCAGAGUAUCAGCUCGGACAUCUCUGGUUUCACGGAACAUCAAAACUGCUGAUCAAGUCCCUUAACAAAGUUGAACAAAACGCAGCUAUGUGUCGACAAGUGUCCAAGUGGAAAAUUACCGGCAGAGUAGACCCGUCCUGAUGAGAUUGAAAGUAUCUUCUUUUUUUUUGCGGGGAAGAUUGAAAGUAUCUUAAGAGACGUUUCCCCCGACCAUUUGUUCAUGUUAGUCAGAUCACCUGAGCAAACCCAUAUUAAUUGACUCUCAAGCAGAUGUAUCUAGCACUAAAAUAUGUCAAGAUACAUCCAUUUGAGCGUCAAUUAUAAGACUAAAA